AGAAACUGUCUCCAGAAAUUACUGCUUCAUUUCCCAAUAGACUGACAUUUUGGUGGAUGAACGGAACUAUAUUUCAUGGCUACCGUAAAGGUAUCAAAGAGGGUGACCUUUUUGAUUUACACACUAGAGACAAAGCAGAGAGAGUUGUGCCCCAGUUUGAGAAUGCCUGGCAGGCAGAACUAGAUAUUGCAAAGAAAAGAAAAAAG
rnacentral:sRNA from 1 species